rnacentral:rRNA from 1 species
ACGAACGCUGGCGGCGUGCCUAAUACAUGCAAGUAGAACGCUGAAGAGAGGAGCUUGCUCUUCUUGGAUGAGUUGCGAACGGGUGAGUAACGCGUAGGUAACCUGCCUGGUAGCGGGGGAUAACUAUUGGAAACGAUAGCUAAUACCGCAUAAAAUGGAUUAUCGCAUGAUAAUCCAUUGAAAGGUGCAAAUGCAUCACUACCAGAUGGACCUGCGUUGUAUUAGCUAGUUGGUGGGGUAACGGCUCACCAAGGCGACGAUACAUAGCCGACCUGAGAGGGUGAUCGGCCACACUGGGACUGAGACACGGCCCAGACUCCUACGGGAGGCAGCAGUAGGGAAUCUUCGGCAAUGGACGGAAGUCUGACCGAGCAACGCCGCGUGAGUGAAGAAGGUUUUCGGAUCGUAAAGCUCUGUUGUAAGAGAAGAACGAGUGUGAGAGUGGAAAGUUCACACUGUGACGGUAGCUUACCAGAAAGGGACGGCUAACUACGUG